GGGCUUCACGCGGGCCUGGAGACUCUGGGAAAGGAAAAAAUCCUUCAAGCUUCAUAAGUUUUCCUCUUUUAUGUCCCAGGGGAUGUUACUGUGCAACAAAACAGGAGCAAAUUUGAAGUAGUUCAGCUGGAUAAAAGCAUUCUAUUAAGGGGAGGGCAAAUCAGUACUGGUCUGACGAAGACGAUGGAGAUGGACAGAAUACAU